GUGACAAUCCAGAAGGACACCACUCUCCAGGAUGACCUGUGUCUGAGCAUAGAGUUUCAGAGACCAGGCCAUUCACUUGGCACAGUUACCAAGAAUGGUCUUUUGGAGUUUUUCAGAAUGGUUGGAGUUUCUCAGAGAUACGUCCUCAUUGUUUGAUUUUCUUACAUAAUAUGUACUCCCUUGAGACACUGUCUUGCUAUGUUACCCAGGCUGGAGUGCAGUGGCUAUUCUCAAUUAUGAUCAUAGUGCACCAUGGCCUCAAAUUUCUGGGCUAAAGCCAUCCUCCCACCUCAGCUCCAAGGACUACAGGCUCACACCACAACACCUGGUCCUCUGUUUACUUCUCUUUUUCCCCUACUAGGUUAUAAACUCCUCCAAGGCAAGGAUUUAGUCCUGCUCACAGUUGUAACAUAACACCUAGCUCAGUGCCUGCACAUAGCAGAUGUUCAAUCAUUAAACUAAAAUUUAUUUCUCUCAUAAUUUUUUGUUAAGUUUUGGUGGUUCCAAUUGAAAAAAAGACAACAUGAAUGAACAUUAACAAAUAAAUAAAAAGCUCAGAUGCGUGAGACCUG
rnacentral:lncRNA from 10 species